rnacentral:lncRNA from 1 species
ACCACUGGAAAAGACCAGAAUAUUUGGUGAUUUGAUAAGGUAUCAAACUACAGGCAAUCCAUAGCAACAAUAAAUUAAGUACACCAAAAACAAGGACUGAAUUUUCUUGAUGGUGAAGAGGACAAAACUGACUUCUUUUUUUUCUAUUCUUUUUUUGAAGAAAUAAAACCUAUUAUAUAAAGUAACACAUUUCAAUGUGAAAAAUGCAGGCUGUACAAAUCUUGAGGUUCUCACUGUACUAACAACAGACUCACAUUACACAGAUGGAGUUCCCUUCCUUAUUCGCCUCAUAAAUGUUAAGAGUAGCAUACACAGGUUUUUCAGUGUAGAUGAACACUCGGUAAACACUAUAAUCGGGACCUUUAACUUGUGUGUUUCCCUAGGCUUGGUUUAAUUAGGUUUGUAGCCUCAAUGUGACAAGAGUAAAAGAUUUUUCUUUGAAUACAUAUAUCCCAGUAAUUGUAGCACAUUCUCAGUGGUUGUUCUCAGCACAUGGUUAGUUGUUAGUUUUUGUUUCUUCUUCCUUUUUUUCUUUUUUUGUUUUAAUUUCAAGAAAAACUAAUGAGUUUCCAGAAGCAGUGUGAGUGCUUUGGGGCUGAAUGUGAUUUAAAACCGGCAGUAAAAGAAAAAGAAGACAGGGAAGGUAGCUGGUUAAUUGACCUUUAUUGUGCCUUCUGGUUCAUUUAGAAAUGGAAAUUAAAUUAACAUGAUAAUUCAGUCCUACUGUGUUAAGGCUGCUAUAAACCCAUUAAAUUUUAUGGCCAUUGAUUUAGCAUUUUUUUCUAUUAACUGGGUUUAAUUUUCAAAAUUGUCAUGCAGGUUCUGAAAAGUGGUUCAUCCACUUUGGUUCCUCCAAGUUACUAAUGUAUAGCCUUUCCUCUAAUGGUUCUCACUUAAUUAUUCAAGUGCAGAGGGCCCAACUGCCCUCAAAUGUCUGGAUUAAUUUAGAAACUAACCCCACUGAAAGUCCUUUUAAGAAGAGAGGAAUGUUUAGGAACAGGAAAAGUCAGUGAAAUUCCCUAAGGCACAUAGCUAUUUUUUUUAAGAUUUUAUCUUAAAACUAAUCCUGACAGAGAAAAUAUUGUGGAUUUCUUUUUGUGAGCCCAAGAGAGUCAGGAGAAGAUUUUGCAUUGGUGUUUCUCUUUUUGCAGUUUCUUUUAAAAUGCAGCCAUUCCUUGUAUUUCACUUAGGUUCCCGAACAUCUUUUUAGCUACUAAUUUAGAAUUGUGACCAAAGUUUUUUAAAAUUUAAAAGGUAUAACUUUUUACUAAAAGCUAAAACUAUUUUCUGGAUUCUCUCUUUAGCAGAUGUAAAUCCUAAGUAUAUAAUUUUUCAGCAUCGCACAUCUUUACUUACUAACUUAAAUAUUAGUUUUUUGUUGAAACUUACUGACACUUCAAGUCUCCGAGAAUUUCAAAAAGAUUUUCUAAUUUAAUCUCAUGGUUAUUUCCGAAAAGCAGAAAUGUGAUAAUGUUAUGUUUUUGAUUCUUUACCACUAAAGACAAAAAGGCAGCCCACAGACCCACAACAAAGACACUAGGCCUGUAAAUAAUGGUGCACUUUCAACCUCUGUUUUUGAAUUCAAAGUGCCGAUGAGGGGAGUUCCCGUUGUGGCACAGAGGAAAUGAAACUGACUAGUAACCAUGAGGUUGUGGGUUUGAUACCUGGCCUUGCCCAGUGGAUUAAGGAUCCAGCCUUGUCCUGUGCUGUGGUGUAGGUUGCAGACAUGGCUUGGAUCUGGCAUUGCUGUGGCUGUGUCAUAGGUCAGCGGCUACAGCUCCCAUUAGACCCCUAGCCUGAGAACCUCCAUAUGCCGAGGGUGUGGCCCUAAAAAGACAAAAAAAAAAAAAGAGAAACUCAAUUUUUAAAAAUGCCACAUUAUAGCUAAUCUGUUUAGAGUCUACAUGGCUGUUUUUAUAUGUGCUUUUGAUAGUUUUAACAAUUGGUGAUCAUAAUUAAAAACCCUCAGAGCAUGUAAAGAUUGCCAUUGGAAAAUGGCAUAUAAAUAUUUUAGUCUUUUCUGGGCAAAGCAAACCAGGUUUUUCAUUAUCUAAGCACUGUUACCUUAGAUGUUUUCACUCUAAGUCAUUGUUUUCAGAGUUACAUAUACUUCCUGGUUUAAUGAACAGUCAGAUAUGAUGCCCAAUAGAAAAUGGUGGCCUAUGAGAAAAGAUGUACAGAGAAAGGGAAGAUUAUUUCCUUAAAUUGGUUAAAAAAAAAUGAUUAUGAAAAACUGUUGGAAUGGAGAGGAUUUAGAAGAACUUGCCAAUAAAAAUUGUGGAAGGAACCCUACCAGACAGAUCUUUUGAAGUUCCUCAUCUUGCACCCAGAAGAUGUUCAAUAUAUAAACUUAACAAUUGCCAACACUUACCCACAUAGCACUGACUUUGUGCCCUGCACUCUUCUAAGACUCUUACAUGUAUUAACACAGAAUUCUUAUAUAUAAUUAACUCAGAAUUACUAUAAAGUGGGUACAGUAAUUACCCUCACCACCAUACAGAUAAGGAAACUGAAGUACAAAGGGGUUAAGUAGCUUGUGCAGGGAUUUGAACCUACACUGUCUAGCUAUUAUCAUCUGCAUUGAAAGACUGCUAUACUCUUGUGACUGUAACUUCAUUCAUUCCUACUCACCAGGCCUGAUAAUUCGGAUCAUUUUUGACUCAUCUUUUGUCAUUGUUCUCUUUCCUUCACACCUUACCCAUGUUAAAUCCUAAAAUCGGAGUUCCUGCCGUGGCUCAGUGGUUAACGAAUCUGAAUAGGAACCAUGAGGCUGCAGGUUCGAUCCCAGCCUCGUUCAGUGGUUUAAGGAUCCAGCGUUACUAUGAGCUGUGGUGUAGGUCACAGAUGAGGCUUAGACCCCUAGUGGCUGUGGCUCUGGAGUAGGCCGGCGGCUACAGCUCUGAUUAGACCCAUAUCCUGGGAACGUCCAUAUGAUGUGGGUGCAGCCCUAGAAAAAGACAAAAAUUAAAAAAAAAAAAAAUUCCUAAAGUCCUAAUCAGUUUGUUUUCCCUGGUCAUGAAAUCUAAAAACAUUCCCUUGAGGAAAAUUUAUAAAGUGCUCAAUUGUGUUAAUACUUCAAAACUUGAAGCCCCAACCUCUGCUCUGAGGGUAAGAAGCAGAAUGAGAGGGGAGGAGGGAGAAUGAGAAUGAGUGCAAAGGGGAGAAAGCACUCCUGCAUCCUUUUCCCAUGUUUUUAUGGGUUUCAGUUUAUAGGACUUGUUAGAAUAGCUUUGGUUUCUUUUGCAAGCCCUGUGCCUGCAAUAGAGGAGCUGCUGAAGUAGAAGUGAUUUAUCUUUUGUCUCUUCCUUAACUGUGAACUUCAACACUCACUUCUAUCACAGCACCUAUAACACUUUAUUCCUUCCUUACAUAGUGGUCUCCUUUAGACUCCCAAAAUUUGGAAUCAAAAAAUGGUUUUGACAAAGACCACAGAUGACUUAAAACGUCUCAAGACUUUGAAUAAUGUUUGCUCAUUAGUGUUCAGUAAGUGACUGACGACAGAGUGAUCUAAUGCAUGCCUGAAAUAAACUAGCCUUCACCACGAAGCAUAAAUGACAGUAGAGACUAUGUUCUGGUUAUAUUUUUUUCUGGAAAAAAAAUGUUUGAGAAAAUGUAUCAUAUCAAUAUAAAUAAAUACUAAUGUUUACUAAUUUGUACUUAAGGUAAAUGUUUAUUAUUAUUUAAAUGGAUAAAUUUAAGGGAAUAAUUUCCUCACUAAACUUCAUAUUGUUCAGCUUGAUCUAAUUCUGGUUUUAUCUUCCAGACCUAUAUAGUUAAGCGAACCUGAAUCUUUUCUUCAAUCAGAACCCUGUGACAUAUGCUCUGCUGAUGCCUAGCCUAAGGACCUGAGGCUAUAUCCAGUCUUAAAAUAUCUGCUUGCAUCUUACAAGAAGUGUAUGGGCAUUCAUUUCUCUCCUCAUUGUGCAAGGGUUUAGCUCCUAUCCAGUUUCUCAGGGAACAAAUCUCACUUUCUUCCUUACCAUUGUUUACCGUGGCUUGGUUUUUAAAUUCCCCUCAAAUCUUUCAUAAAUUCUUGUCCUUACUAGUAGCAGGAAAAAAAAAAAAAAAAGGAGGAAGGAAUAAAAAAUAAAUUAAAAUAUAUACUUUAAAUUUACACAAUUUCGGAGUUCCCAUCAUAACUCAGUGGUUAAUGAACCCGACUAGAAACCACGAGGUUUCGGGUUUGAUCCCUGGCCUCGCUCAGUGGGUUAGGGAUCCAGCAUUGCUGUGAGCUGUGGUGUGGAUUGCAGAUGCAGCUCAGAUCCCUAGUUGCUGUGGCUCUGGCAUAGGCCAGCAGCUACAGCUCUGAUUAGACCCCUAACCUGGGAACCUCCAUAUGCUGUAGGUGCAGCCCUAGAAAAGAUAAAUAAAUAAAUAAAUAAAUAAAUAAAUAAAUAAAUAAAUUUACACAAUGUCAUAAGUCAAAUAUAUCCAUUGAAAAAAUAGAGUCAUCAGAAAAUUUUUAUAUCCACUUCUAAUUCUGAGGUGGUCUACUUUAUACAUGUUUUCACCUCCUUUCCAAUAAGACCAUAAUUUUCAGAGAAUGUCUUAUCUUUCCAGAGGAGAAUUCUAGAAAUGCUUACAAACUGAUGCAGCUAUCUGGCACAAAAUAUUUACUUUAUCACUUUGCUGCUUAUUGAAAAUGGAUAUUCUGAAAGAAUACAUAUUUUUCAAACAGAGUCAUGUAAUUAUAGUAUAAGCUUCUCAAAACAGAGUCCUGAAAUAGACCUGUCUGUAUGUUCUAUAGCAUCUGGUGUCACCAGUAAGUCCUGGGGAGAACAUGUAGUCUGCAAGGACAGAGCAGAGGAGCAGCAAUUUCAAGAGCUGGGUGAAGCUGAACACAUUACUUAUUACAUUCUAGUCACUGAAUCAAGGAGGAAAUUCAAUAAAAGGAUAACCAAGAAAUAGGGCCAAAUUUUGAAGU